rnacentral:rRNA from 1 species
UACAGAGGGGGCAAGCGUUGUUCGGAAUUACUGGGCGUAAAGGGCGCGUAGGCUGUGCUGUAAGUCAGGCGUGAAAGCCCCGGGCUCAACCUGGGAAUUGCGCUUGAUACUGCGGCGCUGGAAGGUGGGAGAGGAUGGCGGAAUUCCCAGUGUAGAGGUGAAAUUCGUAGAUAUUGGGAAGAACACCGGUGGCGAAGGCGGCCAUCUGGCCCAUUUUUGACGCUGAGGCGCGAAAGCGUGGGGAGCAAACAGG